ACUCACUGUCCAGAGCAUUUUCCAUGUCCACCAUGAUCAAAAGUGCACAGCAAGGUUGACCACAUUCCACUGUAGUCUGUGAAAAACCAGAAACAUUUGAUCUGCCAGUUGCGCACAACAUGGCUACAUUGUGUCCUGUCACGAUCUGCAACAACAGCUUUCCUCUCUACUCCCUACCCAGGACCAGCCUGGGGUCAUCGCUGACGAAGGCCUGCAGGAUGAGAAGGACCAUGAGGUCAUGGACUUCUUGGAGGAAGAUGCUUUGAUGAAAAGCUACUUGGUGAAGACUAGGACAAAGAGCCCAGUCUGCCAACUGCUGCCUGGCCUUCCGGACUCAUUUACACUACCUACAGUCACAUCAGAGACAGAAGAAAACAUCCAUUAAGAAGAAUACACCGACUACCAGGAUGAAUGAAAGAGGAAAUAAUUGGAACAACAUACUGUAGCUGAAGCAUGUGGCAUGAAAUAAAAACUUGUGGACCCAUUAAUGCCCAACAACUCAACAUGGUCCUUGGAAGCAGUUCUUUUCGUUGGUUUACUUCCUCACCUUUUAACACUGAGAUGCUUAAUCAAACCAUGGCUGAAUAUUUUAGCAAGAAAAUAAUGAUCUGUAGUUUGUUAAAUGAGUCCUGACUCCUGAACUAGGAGGUUAGGGUGUUGUUUUAUUUAGAUGUUUUCAUUUUUAUAGUGUGGAAUAUAUGUAUGUUUUAUAGGGUGAAAGCAGGUGUGAAGAUACACAUAAGCUGUCUAUGUUUGUUCAUGAUUCCUUUAUGAAGGAGAGGGUUACAGUAUAGCCAAAUGUGUUCUUAAGAAUGUGUAGUGAAAUGGAGCAUAAAGAGCUACAAAAUACAUAAGCUUGUAAUUACCAUUCCUUGGCAGACCUGCACUUUUAAUGUCUGGAACCUCGACAUAAAAUUAAAAGUGUAUUACUUUUUUUCAUUGA